GUGAGGUUGAUAGAAAGAGAGAGAAAGAGAGAGAAAGAGAGAGAGAGAGCUUUGCAGGGCAAACAGGGUGGGGCCUGGUCCCUGAGCUUUAUUCUGGGUAAUUACAGACUCCCGUGUGGAUAUUACUAAGGUCCCAGCCUUGCAGAGGCAAUGCAUGGCCACAUUCCCACUGCAUUUAAGAGGAAAAGAUGAAGGAGAAAAAAAAAUCAGUGAAGGUCUGUUUGGGGGGAAGGGGCAAAAGCUCAAUGAUGUGGCCCAGCUCCCUUGCCUGAUCCCGGAGCAGUAUUACAGGGUUACUGGGAUGAGCUGCCUACAGUUGUCUGAAGCAGAUAGCGUGCUAUUACAGAGGCAGCCUGUCCGGGGGGUGUAGGGUCACCCGCUGUCGUGAGAAAAAGCAACCAGUCAGUCACCAGCCUGUGUGUGUGUGUGUGUGUUCGAGAGAGAGAGAGAGACUGAAGACAGGAUGGCACCAGUGUAGGCCAGUUUGUAUCAGAAGCAGCCUGGAGCCACCAGGGAGAGGCUAGCACUAUUAUCGCCAUGCUCUGGGUGCCCUGGUGACGCGAUGCCCGCUUAUCUUCACCGCCAUCGGCUCUUCCGCCACUGAGUCAUCCCACGUCUGUGCCCUAGCGGGAAUCUCCUGAUUCUUCAGCUCUGCUGGAGAGCUGAUCUGGAGCUUCCCUCUUCCCAUCUGAGUCUGCCCAUCAGGCUGGAGAGCUUGGCAGGGCCAUUAAUGAGGAAUGAGGAAGGUGUGAGGUACACACAGAAGAGUUAAUAUAAUUAACCAGAGUUACCGGUGUUCAGCAAAAUGUCCAGCCCAACUACAUCACAAAAGAACUGAAACUAGGGAAAGGAAACAAGGUCACUGUGGUGAGCAUCCAUUUCUGAUGUACUGACAUUAUUGACUACAUAAUCCCUUUUUUUCUCUCCCUCUCUCUAUAUGUCUUUGCAUAUAUCUUACAAUAGAAAUGGCUCUGUACAUCAUAGACACACUGUCUGCACUUUGCCUUUAUUUGCAGAAAACUAUUAUAUUUAUGAAAUCUAUUAUAUUUAUUAUAUAAUGCAUAACUCCAAUUAUUUGCUAUAAAACAAGAUCUUGGCAAACACAUCAAUGUAACAUCAGCUUAUAACUGUCAAACAGCAACAUUAAAAAAAACAUGUUUAAACUGAAUUUAAAAUAUAUGGGGUUGUAAAUGAGGACUUUAUGAAGAUUAACAUUUGUUGAAUGGCUGCUAUAUAUGGUGGGGUUCUGCCUCAUCUGCUGCUGUGGAUGAGCCACCACUGCUCAAUCUCAUCACAGAUAAUUAUCAGGUAAAGGUCUGUACAAAUAAGAAAUAUUUAAUUUAUUUUAAUAAAAUCUAUUUAGUUUAAUAGUUAAUUAUACAAUGAAAAAACCCAGUACAUUUUUACCAGAAACACAAUGAUGCAAGCAACUGCCCAGAAAUGGUGCAGCAUGUUGUAAUAAGAUCAUUGUAUGGAUAACCAUGAUUCAUGGUUUCAUGCAGAAUUUGUAAAAGCAAUAGUGGUGUGUUGGUGUGCUGCUAUUUUGCCAAACAAAGACAGCUUUGGAAUUCUGUAAUGGAAGUGAUGUUCCUUUUCAUCCAUCCAACACAAUAAAGUUUAUCAACAUGCCCAUUAGAGUACUGAACUCUCCUGUGCUUCUUGCUUUGCUAAAUUGUUUGGGUCAGUGGUGUUUGGCAGAUUUACUUGUAUUUUACCAUUAACAAUAGAAAUUGCAAAAUCUUGACAGAAAAAGUCACUUUAAAUUGUAUUCAUUUUUAUUGGGUAAGCAUUUGAAUGCAUGUGGCAGGCACAAUGAUGUGUCACCAAAGCAUUUCUUGAUGACCAAGCCUACCACGCAUUUAUUGUGUGGUGUCUUGGGUUUCAGUGAUAGCCAUUUGAAAAUGCUUCUUCCCCCUCUUCUGCAGUAGACCAACCCUUGAGUAUAAAAAAAUAAACAAACUGUAACCUCUUUCUAAAUGCACCAUUGGGAAGCUUCUCCACACUGACCCCAGUCUACAUUUGACUGCUUGGUUUAGGGCCAUCAGUUUGGGAGAGGAUUGGGCUGUACCUUGUGGAAUGGAUAAGAGAUGAGUAGAGUAGGUUGCUUGACUAGAAAGUUUAAGUCCACUAAUGCCUGUUUCCCCAUGGUUUCCCCAUGUGUGCCUAAUUUAAAUGUCCAUACAGCAUUCUUUUAUAGAUACAAUAUACAUAUAUACUGGAAAAUUAACAGAUGAUUCAUAGUUGUGAUUCAAUUGUUUUUUGUUUUUUUUUUUCUUUUUUUGCUUUCCCAUUUUAUUGACUGUACAAGCAUAUAGUUGGGAAGUACAGUACUGUGCAAAAUUCUUAGGCACAUGCAAAGAAAUGCUAUAGAGCAAAGAUGCCUUCAAAAAUAAUUUAAAUGUUUCUACAUUUAAAAAAAAUACUAUAAAGAGCAGUAAACAGUAAAUGAAACAAAGUCAAUAUUUGGUGUGACGAUCCUUUUAAAGUACAGUUAGUACAUUUAGUACAGUUUUAUAA